rnacentral:rRNA from 1 species
AUUGAACGCUGGCGGAAUGCUUUACACAUGCAAGUCGAACGGCAGCACGGACUUCGGUCUGGUGGCGAGUGGCGAACGGGUGAGUAAUGUAUCGGAACGUGCCCAGUCGUGGGGGAUAACGUAGUGAAAAUUACGCUAAUACCGCAUACGAUCUAUGGAUGAAAGCGGGGGAUCGCAAGACCUCGCGCGAUUGGAGCGGCCGAUAUCAGAUUAGGUAGUCGGUGGGGUAAAGGCCCACCAAGCCAACGAUCUGUAGCUGGUCUGAGAGGACGACCAGUCACACUGGAACUGAGACACGGUCCAGACUCCUACGGGAGGCAGCAGUGGGGAAUUUUGGACAAUGGGCGAAAGCCUGAUCCAGCCAUUCCGCGUGCAGGAUGAAGGCCCUCGGGUUGUAAACUGCUUUUGUACAGAACGAAAAGGUUUCUACUAAUACUAGGAGCUCAUGACGGUACUGUAAGAAUAAGCACCGGCUAACUACGUGCCAGCAGCCGCCGUAA